GCUCGCGAGAGUAAGCUAAUCUCUUAAAGCCGUUCUCAGUUCGGAUCGCAGGCUGCAACCCGCCUGCGUGAAGUUGGAAUCGCUAGUAAUCGCGGAUCAGCAUGCCGCGGUGAAUACGUUCCCGGGCCUUGUACACACCGCCCGUCACACCAUGAGAGUCGGGAACACCCGAAGUCCGUAGCCUAACCGCAAGGGGGCGCGGCCGAAGGUGGGUUCGAUAAUUGGGUGAAGUCGUAACAAGGUACC
rnacentral:rRNA from 1 species